GUUUGACCAGCAGUGCAGAAGUAGCUGAGUGAAAGCAUCUUCCUGUAAAGAGCUAUUCCUGGGAGACCCUUCCACCGUACUGAGGUAGCUGAGGAAGUUUCCUGAUGUGGCUCAGGGGACUGAAAGCCCAGACUGAGGUAGCUGGAGAAGUGAUGGGGGCCAAGAGGAAGGCAGACCUGGAGCAAGAAGAUCUGAACUAACAGAAAUUGUAAGACAACUGAUGAAUGAGGUCUGGGCCAAGCACUCUACUGAAGAAUGUGAUUUACAUAUCAAAAGCACUUCCUGGACUCCUGCAUCUAUUGUUUUAACAAGUCAAUUCAAGUCCAAGUCUGUAUUAAACAACAAGAUCCUACAUGAAGUCCCACCUUCUCAUCUAAAGUUAUUUUGGAAGCUCACUGAAACCACUGGGCUCACAGCAGACAAUGCUCUAUUUGGAAUAUUGAGGAACCUCCACCCUUCUGGGAAUUCCCCGUUCCCAGAAUGCUGCACAUUUAUUGCUCCUUCAUUUAGUGCACCAGACGAAGUUGAAAUGAAGGUAAAUGGACAAUAUAAACUCUUGCAUGACAUUAUAAUUAAAUGGGUGACUUGUCAAAAUUUUUGUUUAACAGGAUGAGCACACUUAGCCAGAUCCCAUAUGUGUGUUAAUUAUAGCAAGAAAGCAAACAAAAUGUCAAUAUUUAAAACAAGUCCUACCAACAGGAAAUGGUUAUCAAGCUGUGAUAAAAUGUUUAUCAGGAAAUGUUUUUACACUAUCCAAAACAUUUCCUGUCUGUAACCUUUUUUUGUGGGAAAAGGAAUAUCUGUGGUGCUAGAAAUAGAAUCUUUGCAAAGAAUUAAAUGACAGUGCUUAUAGAAAAUGAUAAUAAUCACAGAUCUAGCUUCUUUCCUGUUUUCUUCCUUGUACAUAGUAUGAUGUAACUCCAAAAGAAAACUGUUUUCAGAAGUUACAUGGGCAUCACUAAAGUUUGUACUUCACAGAUUUAAAAAUAAUUCAAAGCAAAUUUUCAUAGGUAAUAUCUAAGCAAUGUAAUAAUGGAGGGAGUGGAAACUUGAGCCUUUGCUCCCUGAGACUAACAAUGAAAUAGUAUUUCUAUUAAAAUAUCUGGAAAAGAUCAAAAGAGAUUAAUUAGGCUGAAAAUACUAUUGAAGGUAUCAAAAGAUGAUACUCAAGGGGAAG